AAGCACGUGCUAAAAAUCAAUGUUCAAAAACCAAAAUGGCGCCAGACCUUCACGGCACUUCUGGAUUCCUCCGCCGCGCCGGCGAUUACCUUCGGCGACGGCGGAGCUCUAAUGCCUACCAGAAACACAUCAUCUCAUUCACCUUCUCAGUCUGGUUCCGAAACUCUCUACGAAAUGGUCUAAUUCCUUCUUAGCAUCCUGAAUCGAAGGAGGGAAACCCGAAAGCACUAAAAUUCUAACCUAAGAUUGAAUCGUUCUCCUGCGGAAUCAAAGCCCUAGGGGUUAGGGCUUUGAUUCCUGUAGCUCAGGUUUACAUUCUGAUAUCAAAUUACAUGCAAAUUGAGGAAGCAAAGUUCACCUUUGAAAUUCUCCGGCGACGGUUGCGACGGCGACUACAAGAGGUAACCAAGUUAAUGGUUCAUGGUGUAGAAUCCAAGGAAAUCCUUUGUUGAAAGCGAUUCUGAAUCGGUUGCUAUGAGUUUGUGUGAUUUCGCUACCAAAAUGGCUCCUUUGUGAAAUUGGCUAGAGAUUUCGGUUUAUUCUGUUAGGAUUUUUGUGCAGUUCUAUGGUAUUGCAUAUGGUUGCUACCAAUCUCUGUUAUGACGUCGGAGGAGAAGUCGAUCUUUCCACGUUCUGGAAAUUGAAGUCAUGCCGUAUGCCGACUUUCUUUUGUUGAGUCUUUUUGCCGCAAGAAUAAAAAUCCAACCUUCAAUGGUAAAUAAGACACUUCCUUACUCUAACCAUCAUUUUUUAUCACCUGAAUUUCGCGUUACUUGUGAAGCGUGUUACCAUUCUACAGGAAGUAAUUUUACGAGACGUUUCUCAAGCAAAUGGUAUGACGAGAAAGAGAUGUUUGUGUUAUUUGUCGGGGAGGUGUAACAGAGUUUUGUGAAUUUCAAUAUGGAGCAACAUUAAGCUGGCUUAUGAACUUUAGACAACCAACCUACAUGCUGUGACUCUUUUGCAGUACAGGAAAAGGGGUACCUUUGCUUUAUCACCAGUGCUAUCAGGACUAGCUGGUGAUUUUGAGAAUUUAAAAGGAAGUUCAGCCAGCACAUCUGAUGGACUGAACCUGAAUUGACCUCCGAGACAGGCAGAAUUGGUAGCUUCUCACAUUCUGCUCGAACAGGUGGAAGAGCAACUUCCAGUAAUAUGCUUGAUGAACCUCUUCAACGGCGAGGAUGGACAGUCACGCUCCCGUUGCUCUCUGUGUCGCGUUUUCAAUACAGGAACAGAAGCUGGCUGGUUAUGCAUUUCAUCAAUCCCGUCUUGCUUCACAUUAACGGUUUGUCUGUCGCCGUGGGGUUGUGUUUUGGAUGGGCCUCAUGCAUUGUGGCUUUCUCAGGACUCUUUAAAGGAGCAGUCAAGGUAGAUCAUACUGCCAUUGAAGUGGCUCUGUGAUUUUGCUUCAUUGGUAUUCACCCUGUUAAAGUGUAGAAAAAGCAUUGAGUGCUUUUCCUCUCUAUGCAAGCCUUUUAACAAACAUGACUCAACAACUACAGCAAGAGGACCCUUCAUGAUUUGGCCAUCAAGACAGACUGUUAUUACUUGGGUUUUGGUUUGGAUAGUCAGAGUUGCAUUUGUUGGUUGAAUAACUGGGUAAUGAAUGGAUUUGUUGGAAGGAUUCGGAGGUAAUGUCGUUCUGUUACGAAGAUCAAAUUUGUCAUGGUUUCUUGGAGGGUUUUGUUAUGGAGUUCAAAGCGGUCGAGAGAAGGUGCGAGAAUGCCGCGGAAGAGGGGCUCGUCCUGGAUGAUUGGUUCGGUGAUUGAUUCCACCGGAUUUCUCGGUUCAGUUUUAUAUGUUGUGGAGUGCAAAAAGCAUCUUUAAGAACCACUUCUGAUUGAAGGCUUCAUAGGUUCACCCGUCGAUGGGCUAACACCUUCGGUUAUCAUCUCACAUACGAAUGCACUUUUGCACAAAACAUCGGCGGUUUGAUAUGCUUGUGAGCUGGGUACGGUCCUCGUCAGCAGCGGCAGAUGUAGCCCGGGUUAUCUUGUGACAGGUUUUUUUUUGUCGGCUGUUGCAGUAUUGACAGAGUGUAUGGUUUUUGUUGCCAUUGAAGCUGCAGGUUGGUUGUGGCUAUAGUUGCGGUUUAUGACCGUGUGCGUUUGGCUUUGCUGCUUAUGGCGGUGCUUUAACAACAUAUAUUGAACAAAGCCUGUUAUAGCAGUACUUAACACCAAGUUUUCUUGUCUCAAAUGCCCAGCCAACAAAAACCAAAUAUUGAGCAGAGUCACUUGAUGGAGCCCAUACACCUUGUCCAACACUCAAAGAUUUAUCAAUUCCUUUGACGGCCUGUACCUCUCCGCUAGCAAUGUUGAUAACAAAAAGUGCAGGCUGCCUCUUUCCCGCAUAUGUUUCUCCCCAAUCCUCUUCCAAGUCUCCUUGACCUUUGCAGCUACUAGAAUCCUUGUCAUCUUAACCACUUCUCUUGUAGCCCAGAUCAUUGAAUGUAGGCUUUUGGUACAUUGCUUUGCAUUGCAUUUGGAGCUGCAGCAUGGCGUACGGGCAUUUUAGUUUCCCCGCGGUUUCCCUCUUUUUUAUCUUACUUGAAAUAUUCCUUGGACCUUGGGUGUUAGAUAUGUAAUUGGAUUAAUGGUUAUGUAUAAUGGUUUGUAUUAGUUUAUUGGAUUAAUUGUAUUAUGGAUAAUUGGAGUGGCAACUUGGUUAUGAAUUAGAAGUGGAUUUUGAUGGAUUUUA